UACUACGGAAUAACGCAGGGAAACUUGUGCUAAUACCGUAUGUGCCCUUCGGGGGAAAGAUUUAUCGGUAAGGGAUCGGCCCGCGUUGGAUUAGCUAGUUGGUGGGGUAAAGGCCUACCAAGGCGACGAUCCAUAGCUGGUCUGAGAGGAUGAUCAGCCACAUUGGGACUGAGACACGGCCCAAACUCCUACGGGAGGCAGCAGUGGGGAAUAUUGGACAAUGGGCGCAAGCCUGAUCCAGCCAUGCCGCGUGAGUGAUGAAGGCCCUAGGGUUGUAAAGCUCUUUCACCGGAGAAGAUAAUGACGGUAUCCGGAGAAGAAGCCCCGGCUAACUUCGUG
rnacentral:rRNA from 1 species